GUGCUCACUUUGGCAGCACAUAUGCUAAAAUUGGAGCAAUACAGAGAAGAUUAGCACGGCCCCUGCCAAGGAUGACACGCAGACUCCUGAAGCGUUCCAUAUUUUU
ensembl:snRNA U6 U6 spliceosomal RNA